CUUCUCUCUUUCUACAAUAUUGGAGGUUAGGGUUUCUGCGGCAAGGUGUUGAGAUAUGGAUAAUAAUGAUAUAAUGGUGUCGGUUCGUUCUGUGGUGUUCAAGGAAUCAGAAACCCUUGAAGGGAAAUGUAUUAAGAUUGAGGGUUAUGAUUUUAAUCAAUGAGUGAACUAUCCCAAGCUUUUGAAAUCGUUCGUCUCAACCGGUUUCCAAGCAUCUAAUCUUGGUGAUGCUAUCGAUGUUGUAAAUCAAAUAGUUAGUUUGAGUUUUAAGCUGUUUAUUAAUUUUAGGUGUUGUUUUGCUCGUUUUCAUUUUGUGUUCAUUUGUGUAUUUUGUGUGGUUCAAGCUAGAUUGGCGGCUAGCAAAUGAGAUACCCGAUGAAGAUUGCAUCAAGGAAGAGAGGGAUCCUGUUUACAGGGAAUCUGUGGGGUGCAAAGUGUUUUUAGGUUUUACCUCGAAUCUUAUAUCUUCUGGUGUUCGUGACACUGUUCGAUAUCUUACUCAACAUCAUAAGAUCUAUUCAAAAAUCAAACUGCUACGAUAAAGAAGGGCACCAAGCAUCUUGUUCUUAUGGAGAUGGCAUUUACAUGCUGCUGUUUGGAUGUGUUCAGAUCAUAAUCUCUCAGAUACCUGAUUUUCACAACAUGAAAUGGCUUUCUAUCUUGGCUGCCAUCAUGUCAAUUGCCUACUCAACCAUUGGAUUGGCCCUCGGCUUUGCUACCGUGAUUGGUGAUCAAUCCCAUAUAUUUCAUUGAUCUUUUAUUACUAUGUACUUGCAAGGAUUCAAGUCUAGAAUCGAAGAUGUCAGAGAGGAAAUGUACUUGCUUUUGUUAUCACUGAUUUUUACUUGGUUUGUCCACUUGAUUUGCUUUCUCUCUCUAGUUUAUUUUUAUUUUAAUUUUCUCUCUCUAGAUUACUUUGGUCUGGUGGUGGAUCUAUUUGUACAUUAAGGAUACAUGUAAUGCGAAUGGAGUGGUAAAAUAGUAUUGCGGUACUGGUACUGUAUUUUGCCUUGGUGAGCUGUGACAAAUAGCUAUAUGUGCUUAGCUGGGAUAGUUGAUCUUUUUUCUUAGAUUAUACUUGGAUGGAUUUUUUAUUUACUUAAUGCAUUGCUGAUAAAAUGAUGUAAGAGUGAGAAUAUAUAGUUCCUGCGAUGUUAUUUGAAAUAGCAAAUAUGUUGUUCUGUCCUUUCUCUAUGGGAACCAAGUGGUGAUAGAGCUGUUUAAAGUGGUGUACCUCUAAUUCAUGGCUGUCUGAGUAGUAUUGUCAAUAUUUUUGGCUCUUAUAACUGAAAUGCAGGUUAUUGUUGGCUACCUCCUUGCGGGAUCAAUGAUUGGGCCAGGAGGUCUAAUUGUAUCAGUGAAAUGGUUCAGGUGAAGUUAGACUGCCUUGUUUCUUUAUAAAUAUAUUAGAAAUUCUAUGACAUGCUCUGCUUAUAACUUGUCGUGAGUAUUUGUUCGUAUGAUUUACGAAUAUUUAGUUUUUUGUGCUCUUCCUCAGAUUUUGUGGUCGCCUCAAUAUCAUAUUUUACGUCAAGGUCUUAAUCCACAGAAGUAUUUUAAAGACAGCAUGUAGAGAAGGAAAUAUGUAGUUUAUUGUACAACAGUGAACAUAGAACAUUUCUUUUUUUGUAUUGUGUGUGUGUGAUAGAAGAGAGAGAGAGAGAGAGAAAGAGAGAGAGAGAGAAGGGUUAUUUGUAAUGGACUGAUUUUCUAGGUUUAUAAUUCUGAUUUAAUAGUAAACUUCCCAAAUUACCCCUCCUAAAGCCAGUCUAUUACAGUAUUGUAUCAACAUUUGUUACUAUGACUUGUGUAUUGAAAUUUGAACCGUAAAGUGUGACCUUUUGAGAAGAGAGACUUGUAUAGAUGAAUGUUUUUUGUGUGUAGCUUUUAAUCCAUUCCCAUUGAUAAUUUCUCUUUUUUCAUGUGUUUAGAUUUACCAAAUUUUGGGAACUUGUUUCUUCAGCCAUCUAAUCGUUCUGUAUUUUUCUUACAUGUUUUCUUCUGCAUAGGUUGAAACUGUUGCACAAUUUGGUGUUGUGUUCCUUCUAUUUGCUUUAGGAUUGGAAUUUUCCAUGACCAAGGCAAGAUUUGUUUUUUUUUUUUCCCCCCUGAUUAUAUCUUUAUCUGUGUUCUUGCUGUUGCUGUUAAUUUGACUUUUUGAUGGAGAGUUUCAUUACAUUAACUAUAUGUGUUCAUUUUGAGCAAAUGAACAUAAAUAAAUCAAAACCAUAAAUGUAUUCAUAUUUUAUGGUAGAAGCUGUAUUAACUGUAAUUUGGUGCAGCUCAGAGCAGUAGGGCAUGUAUCUGCUCUCGGUGGGAUGCUUCAAAUUAUCGUGUUCAUGUUUUUGUGUGGCAUAACUGUUACGAUAUGUGGAGGAAAAUUGUCGGAGGGGGUGUUUGUGGGUUCUUCCCUAUCUAUGUCGUCAACAGAUUCAGGAGGUAAAAUAGGAAAGGGAAGGCCUGAUUCAUGCUCUUGUUCUUCUGCACUUGUUUUUCUUGCUGGCCUGGUUUUCUGUCUGUUUCUUCUCUGUGUGCCUUGCUGAAUUCUGGAUUUGGCGUGUGUUCUAGAGUUUGUUCAGCUUUGAUUCAUGCCCUGAGUCUGUCUUUUCUAUCUGCUUGGUUGAGUUGCUAUUUCUCUAGCUCUUGUUUUGUCUAUUAUGUGCUACUGCAGGCUGUGUUCUACUGUGAUGCUGAGCUAGUAAGUGUGCUGGGGUUGUUUGACUGUUCCUGUCCCUGCUGGUUUUCUAUGGUCUGUCUUUCUGCUGGCCUGUUGUGUAGCUGUUCUGCGUUCCUGAGCUUGGUUCUGAUGUGGUGGCUACUGUGUUGGUGUCUUUGCUCUGGUGCAGUUUGUGUUUCUGUGACCGUGGGACUGUUCUGCUAUGGUUCAGAUUGCUAUGAUGCUGUUUGCGUUUGGUCAAGUCAGUUUUUCAGUUGCGGUUUUGCUGAUUUGCUUUGCUCUGAUUCUGUGUUGCUGAGUGCUAGGUUUCAUGGGCUGAUCCUUGAAGCUUUCUACUCAGCUGGUGCUGUCUGACUGCUGUUCUUCAGGGACUUACUGGUGCCUGCUCUGCACUGGUUGGGCUGCUGGUUUGGGUGCUGUACAGUAGUGGUGUGGUUUGGUGUUGCUGUUUUGGUGGGCUGCGAGGUUGUAAUAUUAUUUAAUAUUUUUUGGACGAAAAUUGUAAUAUUACAGCCUUUUUUAAUGAAAAUAUGUAACUUUAUAUA